rnacentral:rRNA from 1 species
CUACGGGAGGCUGCAGUAGGGAAUCUUCGGCAAUGGACGGAAGUCUGACCGAGCAACGCUGCGUGAGUGAAGAAGGUUUUCGGAUCGUAAAGCUCUGUUGUAAGAGAAGAACGAGUGUGAGAGUGGAAAGUUCACACUGUGACGGUAUCUUACCAGAAAGGGACGGCUAACUACGUGCCAGCAGCCGCGGUAAUACGUAGGUCCCGAGCGUUGUCCGGAUUUAUUGGGCGUAAAGCGAGCGCAGGCGGUUAGAUAAGUCUGAAGUUAAAGGCUGUGGCUUAACCAUAGUACGCUUUGGAAACUGUUUAACUUGAGUGCAGAAGGGGAGAGUGGAAUUCCAUGUGUAGCGGUGAAAUGCGUAGAUAUAUGGAGGAACACCGGUGGCGAAAGCGGCUCUCUGGUCUGUAACUGACGCUGAGGCUCGAAAGCGUGGGGAGCAAACAGGAUUAGAUACCCUAGUAGUC